GGCAGUGUGGUGUAAUGGUUUGAUCAUUGGACUAUGGGUCUGGAGGGCAGGGUUUGAACCCCUGCUCAGCCA